rnacentral:lncRNA from 1 species
CUGAAUGUGGAAAAACUGAAAGCACUUCCUCUAAACUCAGGAACAGGACAAGGAUGUCUACCCUCAUGACUCUUUUUCAAAAUAGUACUUGAAACUUUAGCCAGAGCAAUUAGGCAAGAGAAGCCAAUAAAAGGGAUACAAAUAGGAAAUAAAGAAGUUAAAUUUUCUCUGUUUGCAGGUGAUAUGAUCCUAUACUUGGGAUACCUCUCUCCCCCCAAAAAAAUUAAACCCUCCUCCAGAAUAUAUCUAGAGCUGAUAAACAAAUUCGUCCAAGUACCAGAUACAAUAUCAACAUACAAAUGUCAAUAGCUUUUCUAUACAUCAAUAAUGAAUCUUCUGAGAAAGAAAUCAGGAGAACAAUGCUAUUCACAAUGACUUAAAUGAUAAAAACAAGACUAAAUCUAACCAAAGAGGUGAAAGAUCUAUACAGUGGAAAUCAUAGAACAUUGAAAAAAGAAUUCAAAGAAGGCACCAGAAGAUGGAAAGACCACCCCCCUGCUCCAUAGGCAUAGACAGUCAGAAUUAAUAUGGCUACAAUAGUCGUAUUACCAAAAUCCAUCUACUGAUUCAACGAAAUUAUCAUCAAAAUGCCAAUUAUAUUCUUCUCAAAACUAGAAAAAAAAAUCCUGAAAUUCAUAUGGAAGAAUGAAAGACCUCAAGUAGCUCAAGAAAUCUUCACACACAAAAAAGUAAAUUCGGAGACACCACAAUAUUUAAUUUCAAAUUAUAUGACAGAGCCUUAGUAAAAAAAAAAUCAGCAUUGUACUGGAAAAAAAGAAACGAAAAACAAUAAAACAAACCAGAUAUGAAGACCAAUGGAAUAGAAGAUACUGAGACAGAUUCAAACAGUUAUAGUCAUCUGAUUCUUGACAAAGGAGCCAAAGAUGUUGAAUAAAAUAUAGCUUUUUUUUAAAAAAACAAACGAUGCUAGGAAAACUGGAUAUCCAUCUGUAGAAGAAUGAAACUAGAACUCUCUCAUCCUGCACAAAGGCCAACUCAAAAUAGAUCAGAGACAUAGGAAUAAGCUCAGAAACUUUGCAAGUGCUAGAAAAGAACCUAGGGAAAGUCUCCAACAUGUAGGUGUAGGCAGCCAUUUCCACGUAGAAUUCCUGUAGUUUAAGGAAUCAUACCAAGAAUUAAUAAGUGAGAUGGCACUAAACCUAAAAGCUUCUGCACAGCCAAGUAAAUAACUAACAGCAUGAAGAGAGAGCCUACAGAAUGGAAGAAAAUCUUUGCCAGCUACUCUUCUGACCGUGAAUUGUGAUCCAGAUAUCUAAAGAGCUCAAAAAAAAAAAAGCCAAAUGACCCAUUCAAUAAGCAGGCAAAUGAAUUAAACAGACACUUCUCAAAAGAAGUACAAAUUGUCAAUGGCAUGAAAAAAAAAAUGUUCUGCACUGUUAGCCAUCAGAGAAAUGCAAAUCAAAACUACACUGAGAUGCCAUCUCACUUCAGUCAGAAUGGCAAUCUUCAACAAUAGAAAUGGCAAUAAAUUAUGGUAAAAAUGUCAAGGCAAAGACAGCCCUUGCACACUGCUGGUGGGAAGGUGAAUUAACACAGCUACCCUGGAAACCAUGAUGGAGCAUCUUCAACAAACUAAAAAUGAAACGAUGAUAUUACCCAGAAAAGGUGGUAUAUGUACACAGUGGGUUUUAUUUGGCCCUAAAGAAGAACAAAAUGUUGUCAUUUGCAGGAACAUAGGUGGAACUAGAGAGCAGUAUGUUAAGCACAAUGAGUCAGAAACAGACAAGUUCUGUACAUUUUCUCUGGUAUGUGGAGCUAUGGAGAAGAAAGGAAAUGAAAGUCAUCUUUGAAAAUAGAAAGGAGACCAUCAGAGGAGAGGACAGAGAACAGGGGGAAGGAGGAGGAGGAGGAGGAGGAGGAGGGGAGAGGUAGGCAAAUGAAAUGGAUCCAAUUAUGUUAUGUGUACAUGUGACUAUGUCACAAUGAGACCCACUCUUCUGUAUAGUUAAGAUGCACCAAUAAAAUUUAAGAAAUCAAAAAUACUUUUGUACUUCUUUUUAAUUUUUAAAAAAUGUCAUUCCCAUAUAUUAACCCCUUGUCAAUCUCAAUUUGCCCAGUUGUUAUUUUGACAGGUAAACAUUGAAGACCAUCCAGCAUUUUAUGAUCUCUAUUGUUCAUCUCCCACUAUGACCAAAAAGCCAAGAUUUUUGUGUUGAACCAUGGAGGUGCAGUAUAAAGAAAGAAAUAAGGUUUAGCUUUAUCUCCUGAUUUGUGAGUAGAAGACCCGGUUUGAGAACGUGUUCAUAAGCAGAGCAUCAUCUUUCCUAAAGCCAGUCUGUCACAUAAAUAUUUUUGCCAGCUAUGUAAAAACAAAGUGGAAAGUUCAAGUGAAAAAUGAAAUCAUCUUGGAAGCACUAAAGCCUGUGUCAAGCAACUUAAGAAAAGCUGCUGUGUGGAUAUCACAAAGUGUGGGGGGAAUUCGCCUUGCUGGGUCAUGGAGCUGCAGCUACGUCACCUGAGCCAUUGAAGAUGACCUGGGAGGGAGGCUGUUGGUUGAGACUCAGUUGUAAACAGUGG